GUCCUUUUCGUCUAGCAGGUUAGGACACCGCCCUUUCACGGCGGCAACACGGGUUCAAAUCCCGUAAAGGAUA
rnacentral:tRNA from 4 species